AGUCGACGGAAGUCGUUAUGAUGAUUUCAACACUGACAGAGAACUUGUUCAAAGAAAGUAGAGAUUGACUUAUAACAAUGGCUUUAGUGGCGGACUGGUGAGUAACACGUGAGCAACCUGCCUAUCAGAGGGGAAUAACAGUGAGAAAUCAUUGCUAAUACCGCAUAUGCCAUAAAUAUCACAUGAUGAAAGUGGGAAAGGAGUAAUCCGCUGAUAGAUGGGCUCGCGUCUGAUUAGAUAGUUGGUGGGGUAACGGCCUACCAAGUCGACGAUCAGUAGCCGGACUGAGAGGUUGAACGGCCACAUUGGGACUGAGAUACGGCCCAGACUCCUACGGGAGGCAGCAGUCGGGAAUAUUGCGCAAUGGAGGAAACUCUGACGCAGUGACGCCGCGUAUAGGAAGAAGGUUUUCGGAUUGUAAACUAUUGUUGUUAGGGAAGAUACAAGACAGUACCUAAGGAGGAAGCUCCGGCUAACUACGUGCCAGCAGCCGCGGUAAUACGUAGGGAGCAAGCGUUAUCCGGAUUUAUUGGGUGUAAAGGGUGCGUAGACGGGAAAGCAAGUUAGUUGUGAAAUCCCUCGGCUUAACUGAGGAACUGCAACUAAAACUACUUUUCUUGAGUGUUGGAGAGGAAAGUGGAAUUCCUAGUGUAGCGGUGAAAUGCGUAGAUA
rnacentral:rRNA from 1 species